rnacentral:rRNA from 1 species
UACGUAGGGUGCGAGCGUUGUCCGGAAUUAUUGGGCGUAAAGAGCUUGUGGCGGUUUGUCGCGUCUGCUGUGAAAUCUCAAGGCUCAACCUUGAGCUUGCAGUGGGUACGGGCAGACUAGAGUGUGGUAGGGGAGACUGGAAUUCCUGGUGUAGCGGUGAAAUGCGCAGAUAUCAGGAGGAACACCGAUGGCGAAGGCAGGUCUCUGGGCCACUACUGACGCUGAGAAGCGAAAGCAUGGGGAGCGAACAGG